rnacentral:rRNA from 1 species
UACGUAGGGAGCAAGCGUUGUCCGGAUUCACUGGGUGUAAAGGGUGCGCAGGCGGACUUGUAAGUCAGGGGUGAAAUCUUACGGCUUAACCGUGAAACUGCCUUUGAUACUGCAGGUCUUGAGUUCGGGAGAGGUUGAUGGAAUUCCGGGUGUAGCGGUGAAAUGCGCAGAUAUCCGGAGGAACACCGGUGGCGAAGGCGGCUUCCUGGACCGACACUGACGCUGAGGCGCGAAAGCUAGGGGAGCAAACGGG